rnacentral:rRNA from 1 species
UGAAUUGCAGAAUCCCGUGAACCAUCGAGUCUUUGAACGCAAGUUGCGCCCGAAGCCAUUAGGCCAAGGGCACGUCUGCCUGGGUGUCACAGACCGUUGCCCGACAACAAUUGCCUCGCGAUAGGUACUUUGGUUGUGCAGGGUGAAUGUUGGCUUCCCGUGAGCAUUGCGGCCUCACGGUUGGCUCAAAACUGAGUCCAUGGUAGGGUUUGGCAUGAUCGAUGGUGGUUGAGUGACGCUCGAGACCAAUCAUGUGUGACUCCACUGAGUUUGGGCUCUGUAACCAAUAGGCGUCUUUGAACGCUCGUGAUGAGACCUCAGGUCAGGCGGGGCUACCCGCUGAGUUUAAGCAUAUCAAUAAGCGGAGGAAAAGAAACUAACAAGGAUUCCCUUAGUAANCGGCGAGCGAACCGGGAAGAGCCCACCAUGAAAAUCGGUCGCCCUCGGCGUUCGAAUUG